rnacentral:rRNA from 1 species
UACGAAGGGUGCAAGCGUUAAUCGGAAUUACUGGGCGUAAAGCGUGCGUAGACGGCCUGUUAAGUCGGAUGUGAAAGCCCCCGGGCUCAACCUGGGAAUGGCAUCCGAUACUGGUGGGCUGGAGUGCGGUAGAGGAGAGCGGAAUUCCCGGUGUAGCGGUGAAAUGCGUAGAGAUCGGGAGGAACAUCCGUGGCGAAGGCGGCUCUCUGGACCAGCACUGACGUUGAGGCACGAAAGCGUGGGGAGCAAACAGG